CAAACAUAUUUAUGUUUUAAAAAUGAAAAAAAUUGCUUUCAGAUUCAUGAGGACUGAGAAAUUGACCAAGUUUAGACAUUUUCUGAGAAGUUACUUGAGGACAUUCCAACAAAACUACAAAUGAACCCAAGAAAGAUGAAGUUGGAAAAUGUAAGCAUCUGGUGAACAAAGAAGCCAACAAAAUUUCUAAAUUCCACUCUGAACGCAACUGGAAAACCUUGUUAAAAUAUGCCUGAUGUCACUUCCUGCUGAAAACUCUCCAGUGACCACUUGUUCCAGUUUAGAUCUCUAGAUGCUGGACUGCUAGACCAAUCCGACCCAUGCUCCUGUCCAUGCGCUCCCCGCGGGCCCUCGCAGAGCUGCCGGAGCAGAAGGAACGAAGAGGCGGAGCCCUGCCGGGCCCCU